rnacentral:tRNA from 1 species
GGUUAGCUCAGUCGGUUAGAGCAUGGUGCUGAUAACACCAAGGUCGCAGGUUUGAUCCCCGUUCCA